rnacentral:lncRNA from 1 species
AAUCCCAGCACUUUGGGAGGCCGAGGCAGGCAGAUCACGAGGUCAGGAAAUCGAGACCAUCCUGGCUAACACGGUGAAACCCCCGUCUCUACUAAAAAUACAAAAAAUAGCCAGAUGUGGUGGCAGGUGCCUGUAGCCAGCUACUCAGGAGGCUGAAGCAGGAGAAUGGCGUGAACCCAGGAGGCGGAGCUUGCAGUGAACUGAGAUGGCACAACUACACUCAAGCCUGGGUGACAGAGCGAGACUGUUUAUCAGGCCCUCCCGAAGUUGUUGCAUGGAUGCAUCCUUUAAGUCUGCAGAGGUUUCUGCUGCCUUUUGUUCGGCUAUGCCCUGCCCCCAGAGGUGGAGUCUACAGAGGCAGGCAGGCCUCCUUGAGUUGUGGUGGGAUACACCCAGUUCAAGCUCCCAGGCAGCUUUGUUUACCUACUCAAGCCUCAGCAAUGGCAGGUUCCCCUCCCUCAGGCUCGCUGCCGCCUUGCAGUUGGAUCUCAGACUGCUGUGCUAGCAAUGAGAGAGGCUCCGUGGUGCGCAUCCUUAACUUUGGCAAAAUAAAGUUUCUCAAUUGAUUGAGACCUGUCUCAGAUACUUUUUGCUUUACAAGUUGGUAACCAUAGAGGAUUCUGAGUGGAGGUGUCCCUGACCUUUGACAAAUCUAUCAAUGCUUGGUACCAGUUUGAGCUAUCUCCCCACUCCAGAGAAUUUUUGAUUUCCCAAAAUUUGGUCAAGAUCUGAAGUUUAUUUUGCUGUACAACUUCUUUUCUGGAGUUUUACUUGCUUCCAAAAAGGGAAGACAAGUUUUCUGCUUCUGUGACAAAAAAGUGCAGGCAACUACUUCCUGGAAUUUCAGCUCGCUUUCAACAAAGAAGGAUUGCAGUAGAAACCAGCCGAGACAAAAGAUGCCGGAGUUCUUGGAAAAAUGAAGAGAAGAUUUGGACAUGACACAUACAGGGGGAAGCCCACAGGGAGAAGAUGGCUGUCUGCAAUUCAGAAGAGCAGCCUCAGAAGAAACCAACCUGCCAACAUCUUUAUCUGCGACUUGCAGCCUCCAAAACUGGUGUGUGCUGUCAGAGAUGGGCAAGGAUGGGUGCCAGCCAUUGGAGAGCUGUUCCAGGGAGGGAGCCGGACCUUAGCCAGCCCAGGCAGCACCAGAGAAAGACUCAUCCAACACUGAAAUAGACGGCCCCAGUGUGCGCGUUACAAUAGCAGUCGAGAUACUAAGAAAAUGAGACGUGCUUCAUCUACACCACACACAACAGUAACCAGGACAGACUUGGAAAUGACAGUAAAGAACAAAGUCCGUGAGGGCCAACAGCUUGUGGGGAACUUCAGAGACACGCAGCACUCCACAUAGAAAGCACAUUCCACUCCAGUUGUAAGAAGGUUUGAGCCUCCCUGGUAUUUGUUACGUUCUUUUACGCUGACUACAUUUCUGUGUGGUGAGUAAAACCAUUCUCAUUGUGCAGGUGCCAAAGCUGAGGCCAGAGGGAUUAGGAGAUGGUAUAUGUCCAAGGAUAACAUUAAGAUGUUUUAAGUUCAGUUUAUUUUAUUUUAUUUUAUUCUUUAUAGACAGAGUCUUGCUCUGUUGCCCAGGCUGGAGUGUAGUGGCACAAUCACAGCUCACUGCAACCUGGAACUCCUGAACUCAGGCAAACCUUCCUCCUCAGCCUCCUGAGUAGCUAAGGCUACAGGCAUGCACCAACACACCUGGCUAUUUUGUUAUUAUUAUUAUUAUUAUUAUUAUCAUUAUUAUUAUUAUUAUUAUUAUUCGUAGAGACAGGGUCUUGCUAUGUUGACCAGGCUGAUCUUGAACACCUGACCUCAAGCAAUUCUUCCUCCUCGGCCGCCCUAAGUGCUGGGAUUGCAGGCCUGAGCCACCAUGCCAGUCCAUAAAGUUUUAUUUUAAGUCCUUAGAUGUGGGAUUUCCUUUUUAGAGCAGCAAGUACUACCUGAACUAAAACAGGUGGUCUUGCAACUUGCAAUGGAUUAUGGAAAUAGAUGGCAUCUAUAUUGGUGAGGUUCUCACCAAAACUCAAACAGAAUAAAUGUCAUUUGAAGAACAAAUCUCAACUUUAACUUUCUUUCAUCCAUGGGUAAGUGCUACAUUUUUGAAAAAAAUAUGAAUUUAAAUAAAAGUAAUUUAUUGUGGUGAGAAUAUAUAUUACCUGUCACGAAACAUGUCCUUCUGUAUGUUAACUUACCCAGGCAAAUGAAAACUUUAGUAAAAACAUUUAUGUCUAUAUCUGUCUUCUAAACUACACCUGUGUGUGUGUGCAUGUGUGUGUGUGUGUGUGUGUGUUUUUGAGGGGUUCCUACUUUCUGAUGUACAGGACUCUGAGGCCUGAAUAGUUCAUUGCCAUAAACUGAGUUACUUCUUUUGGAAAAACAUAAAUUUUGUUAUUUUAGUCUUCUUUAACUUUCAUGUGUUUGACUUGCCUUAAUUAUAUAUUGGUAGAAUUAAAUGUUUCAUGAUCAGAAUUUGGACUUUUGCACAUGAGUCCACAAGUGUUGGAAGCUUUCUCAGGUGCAGCAAUGCCAAUCUCCAAAAGGUCCAACUCGGUAAGCCAGUGUUUGUGCCACUAUUUAUGUGUUUGUUAUUUUACGCUUCAAAAAAUAAAUUAGAACAGAACAGAAAAAUGAUACUAGUAACAAAGAUGUUUGUCCCAUCACUGUAAUAUAAUUAAGACCGAGAUGGAAUGGAUCAAUGAGCUGCAUGCGUAAGUCUCCAUCUCAAAUAGACUUUCAAAUGGUUGCAUUAUAAAGGAAAAAAAACUAGAUUCAAUGAAAUGUGUUCAAUAUUAUGCAUAAAAGGCACAAUGUAUUCAGAUAUUUUAUACUAGUUUUCGGCUUCUGGCAACAGAGCACAUCCACCCAGCUACCACCACAGCUAAAACUAUAAUACUAUUUGUUUUAUGAUGUCUUUUAUACAUGCUUUCAAGAACACAUUAUAUACAAAAUAGGUGUUUCUAAUGUGCUUCACUUUUCCUGUGGCCUCCCAGAGGCUAAAAGCCACAUUUGUAGCACAGUUUUCAUGACCGUAGAGGCCCUGAAGGCCUGAAUGUCAUCUCUUCCCCACUGUUCACUCCUUUUACUGGUGUUAUACCCCAACUCUAUGGAACACUAUUAAACAUUUUCUUUGGCUCCA